CGCUGAGGACACACCAGUAGGAGGAGGCAGCAUAAACUCUCAAAGCGAGAGUCCACAGUGGUUCCCAGUCUCCUCUUUGGAUACCCGGGCACUGCCAACAAAUGGCAGGAAGAAGGAUUCAAGAACCCUUUAUCCUGGGACAUCUCUACACUGGGCAGAAAGGGGAGGCAGAGCCCAGUAUGAGUGGAAUCCAGUCUGAUCAGAGCUUGACAGGAUCAAGAGGAAGCUAGGAGACAAACCUCCAGACACGCCUGCGAGGGAUUAUCUAGAAGAAAAUAAUUGAAGCAGGAAGACCUGCCUUAACUGUGGGUGGCACCAUUCCUUGGGGUGAGGUCCUGGAUUGAGGACAAAGUAGAAAGUAAGUAUCAGACCGUUCUUCUCUCUGCCUGCCUAACUGCAAAUGCAACAAGACUAGCAGCCUAAAGCCAUGAGGUGAGCCACACAAAACCUCAUUUCUUGCUGCUUUUGUCAGGUAUGUUGUCACAACGAGGAAACGAGAAAUGUCUUGGUCAGAGUAUUUGAAGCAGGAAGACCCAGGACGCAGGACUGCCCUUCUCUUGGCAGUCUACAUAAAAGGACACGGAUGAAGGAAGCAUUGCUCUUUGCUUCACACUUGCUGAUGAGUUGAGCUGGAAAGAUCCUGUUGCUGUGGCAUUCCUUGACCGAUAUUAGAACUUACUUCCUCAGGAUUCCAAGGUAGAUUGAAGACCAGCAUCUCCCCAGGAAUCCUCCAGGCCUUCAGUGCCAUUUUGAGACUACUGGGACAUUCAGCCUCAUGAUUCUUUGUGUCUCAAUA
rnacentral:lncRNA from 1 species